rnacentral:lncRNA from 1 species
AGCCCAAGAACACACUCUUUUAUCUCAUAGAAAAUAUAUUGGAUUGAUUAUAUAUGGGCUUACAGCCAAAGCUACAUGCUCCCAACCUUUUGAUCACACCUAUCUGUUCCCAGAGAACGAUUUUAAAAGAAACACAGGAAGAUCAGAAAUGGUAUGAUGAGUUGAGGCAGAAAAUUAACGGAAAACCAACUCCUCUUUACAAGUAGAGCAUCUAAAAGCAGCAACCAUAGCAUCUAAAACACCAGAACUUAUGAAAAGCGAACGUGUUGAGGUUGCCGAAAAUGGUUUUGUGCUGCUUGGUUACAAGCAGUGGGAAGAUCAGUUUCGACGUCUUCCAACAUGGUCUGCUUGCCGGAAUCUUCAGUUGGUUCCGAUUGAGAAGAGAGAAGAUGAAAAAAAUUACCCACGAGAAGGCCUAAAAUGGUAAAGAAGGAACAAAAAACUGUGGUGCUUCUCAGAUUCAUUGUUUCCGGAUGCCCUAGUUGGGUGAAUGUAAGCGUGGAAUCCACAGCUCUUAAUAAAGGUCAAUUGCGUGGUUCUCAAGUUAAGGAAAAUUCCAUGUGUUGAUAGAAUUUUCAAGCCCACCUCGUAG